GAAUCCCUCCCAUGCAAGUGCACCAUGGACCACCAGGGAUGGCCCAGCAUCACCCAGGACCCCCAGGCUCCGGAGGCCAGCCCCCCCCCCCAGGCCCCCCACCUGGCAUGCCGCACCCUCGGGCCCCCGACCCAUGGGUAUGCCACCCCGAGGACCCUCAUUUUUGGGGUCGCCCAUGGGUCACCCAGGCCCCAUGCCCCACCAUGGCAUGCGUGGGCCUCCUCCGCUGAUGCCUCCCCAUGGCUACAACGGGCCCCCUCGCCCACCACCCUACGGCUACCAGAGGGUCCCCCUGCCCCCCCGGCCUGCACAGAGGCCCCCUGGGGUGCCCCCCCGGGGACCCUUGAGGGGUCCCCUGCCCUGAGCGUGGCUGUGACGAGGCCCCCUCCCUGCUGGGGACCCUCCUCGAUGUGUCCUCAAGCUUUCAUUCCUCCCCAGGCUAACACAUCCUCAUGCAGGAGGGGCCCCCCUGGUCCCACCUCCCCCUUCUGCCUUUCCCUCUCCACAUCUUGUUCCCUGUGGAUUUUUAUAGUGUUCAUUUUCCUUCCUUUCCCACUUCUCCCACCCCUGAAGCUACUUCACGGUGCUUUGAGGAGGAUUUGGGGUUUUUCUAUGUAUAGCAGUGAGCUCCCCUUUACAAAUAAAGUGUUCUCUGAAGCAGGGGCUCUGAGAGCAGGAGGAGGCUCUGCCUGUCUGGCACUGAGGAGCUGCUGACUCAGGAGCAGCCACAUGUGGUAAGUGAUGGCCAGGGAAAUCCAGUGCCUGGUGUUGGGAAGUGGGGAGGGAGGUGGGAGAGCUCCAUUGCUCCUGCUCCCGUUGCCUUUGGCACGUGAGGAGCCACUGCAGGAUCUCAAGAUGAACUGGAAGGGCUCUGCACUGACCUCAGCGGCUCUGUUGUCGAAUCCCACAAUGGUUUGGGUUGGAAUUUACUGUUCAUCCAGUUCCACAGGCAGGGACCCCUUCCACUGGGGCAGGUUUCUCCAAGCCCCAUCCAGCCUGGCCUUGAGCUGCCAGGGAUGGGCAGCUUCUCUGUUCAACCCAUUCCGGUGUCCCACAGCCCUCACAAGGAAGAGCUUCUGCCUAAGAGCUCAUCUUUGUCAGCUUAAGGUCAUUCCAAGCAUAAAUCCUUGUUUUCCCUGUUGAAGAGGGGAAUUCCCAUGGUCCAGGCAGGCUGGGAGGAAGUGAUGACAUCUGUAACCCUGUCAAUUGUUUCCAGUUAGGAAACUGGGAAAAGUCCAGGUUGCCCUAAGAUGUAUGCAUGUGGGGAUGGAGGCUGUGUGCAGCUUGUGAUUGCCCCGAUGCUGAGCUCCCCGAUGCUCCUGGCUUUAUCCCCAUGGCAAAUCCAACACGGUUGGAGGCCCUCAGGACAGGGAAGAGCCUUUCCCUGUCCCUGCCACCAUGCAUUUUGCUCCAGUGAUGCCUUGAGUGAGCCUGAGGGCUGAGCCGGAGCCGGCAGGGAGGGCAGCACUGGUGACACAUGAGUCACAGCCUGACAGGCCCGAGGGGCCGCAGGGGAGCUGUGCUCACCAGUGCAGCCCAGGCCAAGGAGGCCCCGUGCUGGGACGCGUGAUGAGCCCCAGAUGUGGCAGCAGGGCUGCAGCAUCAGCCUCUCCUGUAUCCCCCCUUGUGGGGCUGUUCCCAACAGGAGCUCGGUUAUUCCUCAGCUUCCAGUCCCUGGGCUGGUGCCACUGGGGUGGACUGGUCCCUGGUCUGG
rnacentral:lncRNA from 14 species